CUACGGGCUGCUCCAGUGGGGAAUCUUGUGCAAUGGGCGAAAGCCUGACACAGCAACGCCGCGUGCGGGAAGAAGGCCUUCGGGUCGUAAACCGCUUUCAGCAGGAACGAAAAUGACGGUACCUGCAGAAGAAGGUGCGGCCAACUACGUGCCAGCAGCCGCGGUGACAGGUAGGCACCAAGCGUUGUCCGGAUUUAUUGGGCGUAAAGAGCUCGUAGGCGGUUCAGCAAGUCGGGUGUGAAAACUCUGGGCUUAACCCAGAGCCUGCACCCGAAACUGCUGUGACUAGAGUUCGGUAGGGGAGCGGGGAAUUCCUGGUGUAGCGGUGAAAUGCGCAGAUAUCAGGAGGAACACCGGUGGCGAAGGCGCCGCUCUGGGCCGAAACUGACGCUGAGGAGCGAAAGCGUGGGUAGCAAACAGGAUUAGAUACCCUCGUAGUC
rnacentral:rRNA from 1 species